GACGAACGCUGGCGGCGUGCUUAACACAUGCAAGUCGAACGGAAAGGCCCUGCUUUUGUGGGGUGCUCGAGUGGCGCACGGGUGAGUAACACGUGAGUAACCUGCCCUUGACUUUGGGAUAACUUCAGGAAACUGGGGCUAAUACCGGAUAGGAGCUCCUGCUGCAUGGUGGGGGUUGGAAAGUUUCGGCGGUUGGGGAUGGACUGGAGGCUUAUCCGCUUGUUGGUGGGGUAGUGGCUUACCAAGGGUUUGACGGGUAGCCGGCCUGGGAGGUGGGACGGGCACAAGGGGACUACGGGAGGGACCAGAAGGGUACGGGACGCAGCAGGGGGGAAUAUUGCAGAACGGGGGGGAGGCUGAGGCAGCGACCCCGGGGGCGGGAUGACGGGCUUCUGGGUAUGAACCGCUUUCGCCUGUGACGAAGCGUGAGUGACGGUAAUGGGUAAAGAAGCACCGGCUAACUACGUG
rnacentral:rRNA from 1 species